GACGAACGCUGGCGGCGUGCUUAACACAUGCAAGUCGAACGGAAAGGUCCUGCUUUUGUGGGUUGCUCGAGUGGCGAACGGGUGAGUAACACGUGAGUAACCUGCCCUUGACUUUGUGAUAACUUCAGGAAACUGGGGCUAAUACCGGAGAGGAGCUCCUGCUGCAUAGUGGGGGUUGGAAAGUUUCGGCUGUUGGGGCUGGACGCGCGGCUUAUCAGCUUGUUGGUGGGGUAGUGGCUGACCAAGGCUUUGACGGGUAGCCCGCCUGAGAGGGUGACCGGCCACAUGAGUACUGAGAGAGGGAGCAGAAGGGUAUGGUAGGCAGUAGUGGAGAACAUGGCGCAAUGGGCGGAAGUGUGAUAUAGAAACGCCGGGUGCGUGAUGACGUGUUUCGGGUGGAAAACAGCUGUGGCCGGUGACGAAGAGUGAGUGACGGUAAUGGGUAAAGAAGCAACGGCUAACUACGUG
rnacentral:rRNA from 1 species